AAACCAAACUCAUGAUAUUGUUAUAUGGUAAAAAUGCAUCCCAAAAACCAUGAGAGAAUUCCAUCAGAUUCGUAUUUAGAUUUGCAGUUUUGCUCAUGAGUCAUAGCGGUUAGGCACGGUAUGGAGACGGAAAGUUUCCAUAGAUGGCGUUUAGCCGUAGGCUAUGGAAAGAGAGACAGAACACAUUUGUUGUGAAAGACAUAACAGAUUAAUCUUAUAUUGAAACAAACAACAAAGGGGAGAGUGACCGAACGAUUCUUACCGGUACUUUUCCAAUCGUAAUAUUCAUGAGUGCAAGGUCGGAUACAGGCUAACCGAAUCAAAACGAUUAGUUGAAACAUGUGAUCAAGAUCAGUCCAGGCUCGAACCAUAUAAAAAGACAGGUUGGGCACUGAGCUGAGUGGUGCGCGCUUUUUAGUGACGGAAGCCAGUCCACGCCACUCAGUUGCCCCGUGUGGUACGAAGCUGCUCUGUCUGAUGUUGAAGUUGUAGCUAGAGAGAUGGACUGAGACAGAGUAAAACUAUGUGAGUAUAAA